GCUGUGGGUCAAUGGUCUCUUUCUAAUGGAACCAUUCCCACAAUUUCAUGAAAUUAUAUAAAUUCAAAUUUUUGUUUACCUUCAAACAUCAAAUUGUACAUAAAUAAUAAAAAUUCAACUCUACUUACAAAGGCUACCUAAAUAAGUGCAAUGGGAUUUUUAACGGUGUUGAAGAAAAUGAAACAAAAAGAGAAGGAAAUGAGAAUUCUCAUAUUAGGAUUGGAUAAUGCUGGUAAAACAACAAUAAU